AUAAUUAAAUUUCAGGGAGAUCCUUAGUAUUAAGUGUGUCUCCCCCAUGUUGUGAUGGGAAGCAAUGAGCAGCAGGGAGUCUCAGGUGAUGUGGGGCUGGUGACCUGAGAGUGGCACCAGUGAGGGAAGUGGAAGACCCAGGUGCAAACCAUGUUCCCGUUUGUGCUGGGCUUCAUCUCCUCUUGCAGCCCAGCAAUUACCUACUGAGUGAUUUUUAUAACUCUUAUGAAUAGGCAGGUGCCACACCAGGCACUAAGCUCUGCUCAGUUAACCCUCUAACUGGGAAAGGCUCUGUAAAUGACCAGCUCCAUCCCAGAAUGGCUGAGGCUGGAGGCGCCUCUGGGACCGCCUGGUCCAACCCCUGCCCAAGCAGGGCCCACUUAGAGCAAGUCAGCCAGGACCAUGAACAGAAAAUAAUUAAUAAAACCAAAUCACAGCUUCCCUUGUCUCGUUUUUUCCACUCCUGCCGUUCUGAUCCUAUGAUAUUCUCCUUCCCCCUGCCAGCCCUCACAACAAUUUUGUUAUUACAAAGUUAAUUUUCUGCCACUUUGUAAGGUCAGUGUCUGAAAAGCUUGGUUGCAGGGAGAGGCAAGAGACAGAGGGAAAGGAGCACCAGGGCUGUGUCAGGUUAGUGGGCAGGUGGCAAAAGCACCCGGAGGGGAAGUGUGGGCACAGCGAUGCAGGGAAACAACUGGCUGGGUCCAAAAGUCGUUCUUCAACCGUUAUGCUUCCUUAGGUCAAAAACCCUCCGAGUUGGUUGUUGAGUUACUUGCAUGAGUGUUUUGAGCGAGUUUGCACUGUGCAGGGUGGGUGGGUACUGUCCUUCGGCUGUGGAUGGGAUAGCCAGGCAUUGUCCAGCACAGGUCUCUGCAGUGUUCAGGAGGAUUUGUGAUCUGUGUGAAUAGCUCAAAUUUAUUGUAGUUAGUUUUUAACUCUUUCUGCCGACUAUCCGUUGCCCGAAGAUUAAGCCUUUCUUGUUAAUUAAAAGCCCUUUGCUGCCUGUGACCGAUCUAUCCGGUAGGAGUUGCCUUGCAGUGAUCAGAACUGAUUAAAAUAAAGGAUGGAGGUUAUUUUUACUACUGAUGAAGUGGUUACAGAGGUUUAGAUCAAAUUAAAUAGAGGAUAAAAUUUACCACUGAUUGAAUUAAAUGGAAGGCUCUGUAAAUAUGAAGAUGGAGGUUUGCUGUCUCCCUGGUGUUUCUGAACCCAUGGCUAUUUUUAAACCUUUCUCAUUCCAGUACGUAUAUUCGGGGGCACACUGUGAAAACCACAGUCCUUCCCUCCUGCCUACUAAAACCAGCUGAAGCAGCUCCUUCACCGAUGCAUCUACAGGCAGCUCUAAGAGCAGCUGCUUCCUGUUUAUAAAGGCUGCUGCUCCACCUGACAGCAUCAAUCUCCAGCGUGACUUGGUGAGCAGGGCUUGGUUUUCUCUUGCCGUGCUGACGAAUUCACUCCUGCAGACAAAUUCAGUGAGCAGUUGUGGUGCAGAACACCGCAUCGAAGUGCUUUCAAGCAGACCAGCGUUGUGCAGCAUCACCUGGGGGGGAUCCUGCUUGUUCGAGCUGGGCUGCAGUGCCUACCACAAGGCAGCAGUGGGGUUCCAGCCAUCCUCCUAGUCCCCAGGACCUGGUAGCACGUGGGCUCUGUGACGCUCCGGUCUGCUCAUCCUGCAUGCAGCCAUGGGCUGUGGCGUGGGCAGGACGUGGUGUUUGCCUUUCUGUGCUCUGAGACAACAAAAAUGCUUCGCUGGAGCUCAGCCAGGAAUGUUGGAGGGGAAGAGAAGUCAUUGGUUCUGCAUCUCCUGGCCACCUCUGAAAGUGGUUCUUUGUGUCUCUGACAGCACGGGCUGUUUUGGUGCAACAUCAGUGAUCCCUGUUAGGGAUGGGGUGGUGCUGAUCAAUUAACCUUCUCCAGAUGGAAAUAUUUCUAAAAUUACGUUGAAAUUGUAUUUAGAAACAUACUGACUUAUAGCUUUCUGUCUAUCGGGAACAACUACAACUAACCCCAAUGCUGAGCACUUGUAGUUGAACCCUGGAGCACUGCUUCACUUUCCCCAUGUGCCAGACCCGGAGCAAUGAUCUUGAGCUGCUUUCAGUUUAGUUUGACUUGAAACACCCCCAUUUUCUGCUGUGGUUUCAGUGGAAAUAUUUCCCAAGAAAAAUUGUCCUAAUGGGAUUUCCACUCUCUUGGGACGAGACGUGCUCUGAAAGCAGCUUCUAUAAUUUCAGUGAUGCUCAGAACAAUUCCGAGCUAACGCUUGCUCCUGGUCCCAAAAUGAGCUGUGUCUGCACGCUUCCAUUUCAGAUAAAUAACCUAUCAAGUGACUGUCAUUUACAGCAGAUACAAUGUUCAUCUGAAGUUUUAAUUUAAUGAAAUAGUUUUCAAUUCCGGCCUGCCACACAUAUUGGGAACAGUGAAGGAAAUAGUCCAGUUCUGGCUGUUCUUCAUGUAACAGUUCUCUUUUUUUGUCUCUAUUCAGAACGUGCUUUUUUUCUGUCUUUUUAUCAAAAGUACCACCAAAAUCAAUACAGCUUACAGGAGAGAGAAAUACAAAUCAGAACUAAAAGAGAACCUCUAGUUUAUUAGGUUUUUAAUUAAACAUGAUGAACACAUUUUAAAUAACACAAAGGCCUCAGGCAGAGCUGCAUCUAAUCGAAACAGAUUAAGUCACCCGUCCACACUUGGGUAGUUAUUAAUUCUGUUUAUUUAUGCAUGCUUGCUGAAGGCAGAGUUCACUGCUGCUGUGUUGCAGUUUAUUGCACAGGGAGGCUUUUGCUGCAUGGAAUUGUGCUCCUAAUUAGCAUUCAGAUGUUGAUGAUGAAGAACAUUGGUGAGGCUAAUUGAACCACCUCUGCAAUUCAGGGCUGCCUUCCAAAGUUAAGAGAAUUGGGGUGAAGCAGUAGUUUUUGCAUUAUUUCUUGGACUCUUCCUCCCUUUUCUCCUCCGCUUUGUCCCAUCUUUUCAAGAGAUGUUAAAAUUCUCAAAAAGCAAAUGCAAAAUGUUCCUUCGGAAGGAGGUUUUGCUCGUGCAUCUCCAUGCAGAACUGCUGAUGACACACUGUGACAUCCUUGAUAACUAGCUUUUAUCAUGAAAUAUGCUGCCCUUUAAAUAUUUUACAUUGCUUUUGAUGUAGAGUAGUUGAGGUAAACAACCUAGAUUCAAACAACCUCUUAAAUUUAUGUGCAGGGAUAGUUAAUCCUUGCUGGCGAUAAACCUUAAUUGGCCAUGUACAUGGAUUUACAAGUUCAUAAAUUUUAAAAUAUCCACACCUGGCUUCAGCUUAAAGCUCAUUUGUCAUAAAAUACAAGUGGAGAUCUGUCUGCCAAAAAUGACAAGAUACAGCAAACUAAUUCCCUAACGUGUUUACGAGUGUUUGUAAUCCAGUGUAGCUGGUCAAGAAAUUACUUAUGCAAAACACACGUACUUAUUUGCCUGGCUUUUCUGCCUGGAAUCAUCUUCAAAUGUCUCUCAUCUGCCCUUUUUGGAAUAUCUGCUCAUGAAAACAUUGUUUUCAUUGCUCACUCCUUUGAAGCCAGCCUUUUCAGUUAUGCUGGAAGACAGAGCUGCUUACUGGGGCAAAAAUACCAUGAAUUUUAUUUACUGUUUAUGUGGCAGCUAUAGAAAAUGUGAUUCAUAGCAAAAUUGAAACAGAGCCUCUCGAAUGGUGAGAAGGAAAAAAUAUCAUCAAGGGAUAUUUGAAAAGGAGGCUGGCAUUGCAAGGCUGCGGUUGAGUAAUUGAGUGGGCUUAGAAGGUUAAGAUAUCACUUGCUGCUUGGUUUUAAUUUUUUAUCCACAAAAAGUAAACAUUACAGCUUCUUAGUGGGGUACCAGUUCCUGUUAAUGUUUUCUGGACUUCAGAAAUCAAGCCGUCCGGUGCUGUUUGCAAGUGCAUUAGUCAAAAACAGCUGAAAAUUAGCUGAGGAUUGAAAGAAAAACAAGCCACGGUCUAGUAAGUCCUCUAUUUUAAUAAGAAUAAAUCAAGUUUCAGUUUAAGAAAAAAGGUGGGAACGUACAGUCCCAACUACGGUGUAUUCUAAGAACUUAGGCUAUAAAAAAACAAAACACAUCAAUCCUCACGGUAAAAAGUAACUGAUGAAGGACAAGAUUCUUCUGCUUGGGGGGAAAAAAACAAAACCCAAUUAUUUAAGAGUUGCAUAAAACUCCAGUUACUCAGCAGUUGACAGAUACACAAAAUUAUGAGGUGUAAUACAGCCAGAAAAUAUAAGGUAUAAUCUGGCUAGGAAAGGUGAAUUUAGCUUAAACACAGCUUUUUAGACAAAAGAUAUCCAUCUUUUGGGUUGUGAUUAACUUGCAUCAGUCUUUGAUCCAAGCCCUUGUUUAAAGGGAUCAAUAUUGCACAUACAGCACUGAGUUUAUUGUCAAGUCCUUUCGGAAAUGAGACAGUGAAUUAAAAAUCAAUUAUACGUGCAGAAAAGUUUGUGUAGGGCAAUCAAUUUUGUCCUUUUAGUUUGCAGAAAGAUUCCAUUGUUUAACCAGCUGUGAAGAGGAAUGAAUUUUAAAAGCCUCCAGCAAAUGAGAUAGCCCAAAUGGGGUGGGGGUAGAUUCAAAAAAAAUUAUUUCAGCAUUUCAUGUACAGCAAAGGCUGCCUUCAGGGAUAAAUCUAUAAAUCCUGUCAGUGACCUUGGCUUCAAAAUGGGUGAUUUCACUGCUUUCGUUAAUCUUGAUCUUUCCACAGCUGCCAGAUAAGUUAGCCUUUUCUUAACAAUAUCAUUAUAGUUUUUGUUUGCUUUGUUUAACUGCCAUAUGUUUCUCGAUUCAUCGUCUUUCUGCCUUCAUGUGGAAUAUUUUUAUCUAUUAAGUGCUUGCCAUAUUGCUGAUCCCCCAAAAUAAUACAACAAAUAUUUACACUGGCCAGUUGCCACGGCUCAGAGGGCUAUUUCUGCACAGGGCCGGGAAGCUAAACUCCGAGCUGAACUCCUCUGUAAACUGAAUAAUUUGUAGGUGCUUUCACAAGUUGGGUUUGGUUUGGUUUUCUAAAAAAAAAAAUAGGCUUGUAAUAGGGAGACAGAAGCACAGUUCACUGUUGCCAGAGGGAAGGAAUCUGCUGCCUGGAAGAUUAAUAAAUGCUCUAGCAGUUGAUUGUUGAAA